rnacentral:rRNA from 1 species
GACGUAGGAGGCAAGCGUUAUCCGGAUUUACUGGGCGUAAAGGGCAAGUAGGCGGUUGUUCAAGUUGGGCGUGACAGAUCUCGGCUUAACUGAGAAAGGUCGUCCAAUACUGAGCGACUAGAGGGCAGGAGAGGAAAGUGGAACUCCCGAUGUAGCGGUGGAAUGCUCAGAUAUCGGGAAGAACACCAGUGGCGAAGGCGGCUUUCUGGCCUGUACCUGACGCUGAGAGGCGAAAGCUAGGGGAGCGAACGGGCGUAGAUACCCCGGUAGUCCUAGCUGUAAACGUUGGAUACUAGGUAAUGGUGGUCAAGGCCAUCAGUGCCGAAGCAAACGCGUUAAGUAUCCCGCCUGGGGACUACGACCGCAAGGUUAAA